rnacentral:rRNA from 1 species
AUUGAACGCUGGCGGCAGGCUUAACACAUGCAAGUCGAGCGAGCGGCGGACGGGUGAGUAAUGUCUGGGAAACUGCCUGAUGGAGGGGGAUAACUACUGGAAACGGUAGCUAAUACCGCAUACCAUCAGAUGUGCCCAGAUGGGAUUAGCUAGUAGGUGGGGUAAUGGCUCACCUAGGCGACGAUCCCUAGCUGGUCUGCGAGGAUGACCAGCCAAACUGGAACUGAAAAACGGUCAAGACUCCGACGGGAGGCAGCAGUGGGGAAUAGUGAACAAAGGGCGCGAGACGGAUGCAGCCAUGCCGCUUGAGUGAAGAAGGCCUUCGGGUUGUAAAGCUCUUUCAGCGGGGAGGAGUUACUCGCAGAAGAAGCACCGGCUAACUACGUGCCAGCAGCCGCGGUAAUUC